rnacentral:rRNA from 1 species
UACGAAGGGGGCUAGCGUUGUUCGGAAUUACUGGGCGUAAAGCGCACGUAGGCGGCUUUGUAAGUUAGAGGUGAAAGCCCGGGGCUCAACUCCGGAACUGCCUUUAAGACUGCAUCGCUAGAAUUGUGGAGAGGUGAGUGGAAUUCCGAGUGUAGAGGUGAAAUUCGUAGAUAUUCGGAAGAACACCAGUGGCGAAGGCGACUCACUGGACACAUAUUGACGCUGAGGUGCGAAAGCGUGGGGAGCAAACAGG